rnacentral:rRNA from 1 species
AUACGGAGGAUCCGAGCGUUAUCCGGAUUUAUUGGGUUUAAAGGGUGCGCAGGCGGCCAUUUAAGUCAGCGGUCAAAUCGUGGGGCUCAACCCCAUUCUGCCGUUGAUACUGGGUGGCUUGAUUGCGGUCGAGGUUGGCGGAAUUCGUUGUGUAGCGGUGAAAUGCAUAGAUAUGACGAAGAACACCGAUUGCGUAGGCAGCUGACCAGACCGCAAAUGACGCUCAUGCACGAAAGUGCGGGGAUCGAACAGGAUUAGAUACCCUGGUAGUCCGCACAGUAAACGAUGAAUACUUGUUUUCGGCGAUAUAAUGUCGGAGGCAAAGCGAAAGCGAUAAGUAUUCCACCUGGGGAGUACGCCGGCAACGGUGAAACUCAAAGGAAUUGACGGGG